GAAACGAUUGGGAGCCACUCUCUCAUGAACCACUUGCCACCUCCUCCCAAACUCCACCGAGCUGUAGAGCUGUAGAAAGACAACCAGGAGACAGACGUCACGGGUGUUGACAUUUCCAUGACUUCCAUGCCAAGCUGUGCUAAGCAGAUGCAAGCGGAAAGGGGUGAGUGUGGGGAGUGGGGGGAUGCAGCAAAUCAUUUUGACUAAUUAUCCUCCUGCAGCAAGUUAGUAUGUAGCCAAGCAAGUGACAGUGAAGAGCCAGAGAGCAGGAGACGGGGGAAGUGAGGGAGUGGAGGGGUCAAAGCAGCCUUUACAACCUCCAAAGCUCUCGCAAUCAACAAAUGAAGCAGCACUGCCAAAAGGAGGCUUGACUACCACACUGCAACUGGAUAUUGGACUUCCUCACAAACAGACCUCAGGCAAUUCGGAUUAGUCGUCACACUUCCUCCACUCUACUGUUGAACACCGGAGCCCCCUAGGGCUGUGUGCUCUGCCCCCUCCUGUUCACGCUGUACAUCCACGACUGCAACCGUCGACAUGAAAAGAAUUCUGUUGUGAAGUUUGCGGAUGACACUACGUUCAUCGGACAGAUUUCAAACAAUGAUGAGACUUCAUAGGAUAUCAACAAUGUUACAGAGUGCUGCUCAGAUAACCACUUACUGCUCAACGUCAGCAAAACCCAGGAACUGAUCAUUGAUUUUAGAAAA